CAUGCCGUAAACGAUGAGUGCUAAGUGUUAGGGGGUUUCCGCCCCUUAGUGCUGCAGCUAACGCAUUAAGCACUCCGCCUGGGGAGUACGACCGCAAGGUUGAAACUCAAAGGAAUUGACGGGGGCCCGCACAAGCGGUGGAGCAUGUGGUUUAAUUCGAAGCAACGCGAAGAACCUUACCUAGACUUGACAUCCCCUGAAUUACCUGUAAUGAGGGAAGCCCUUCGGGGCAGGGAGACAGGUGG
rnacentral:rRNA from 1 species